UGAACAAGUUUCCCAAGAC
rnacentral:piRNA from 1 species